rnacentral:lncRNA from 1 species
CUUUCCACGUUGCACAAGCCCAGCGCACGGUACCCACUGGAUAUGCCCGAGGCCUCCAGAGGAAAGGAAAGGAGGAAAAGGGACAGAAGAAAUGUUCACAGGAACUGCAUAUGGGCCUGCUACUUGUGUCAAAAUGUGACUGAACUCUCUUCCAGCAGUGUGAAUCCCUGGAAGGCAAGAUCGCCAUUCUGGUCUCUUGUGGAUAUCAAUGCUGAUCUCAGCUUCUGAUGCACGGCAGUCAAUUAAUAAAUGAUUGUUGCCUGAAAAACUGAGCCCCAAAACAAUAUUACAAGUUUAAUAUCAGUAAAGGAUUUAAUGCUUUCUAACAUGAAGAUACCAG